AUUCCGGUUGAUCCUGCCGGACCAGACUGCUAUCAGAGUUCGACUAAGCCAUGCAAGUCUUCCGGAAGGAAGGCGAAAGGCUGAGUAACACGUGGGCAAUCUGCCCUUAGGCAGGGGAUAACCUCGGGAAACUGAGGAUAAUUCCCCAUAGGAUUUGGUGACUGGAAUGUCCCAAAACCCAAAGCUUCGGCGCCAUAAGAUGGGCCUGCGGCCUAUCAGGUUGUUGGCGGGGUAAUGGCCCACCAAGCCUUUGACGGGUAGGGGCAGUGAGAGCUGAAGCCCCCAGACGGGCACUGAGAUACUGGCCCGAGCCUUACGGGGUGCAGCAGGCGCGAAACCUUUACAAUGCACGCAAGUGUGAUAAGGGAACUCCAAGUGCCAUUGCUUUUUGCAAUGGCUUUUUUUGAGUGUAAACAGCUCUAGGAAUAAGAGCUGGGUAAGACAGGUGCCAGCCGCCGCGGUAAUACCUGCAGCUCAAG
rnacentral:rRNA from 1 species